rnacentral:rRNA from 1 species
GCCUACGGGGGGCAGCAGUGAGGAAUAUUGGUCAAUGGCCGGGAGGCUGAACCAGCCAAGUCGCGUGAGGGAAGACGGCCCUACGGGUUGUAAACCUCUUUUGUCAGGGAGCAAGGUGCAGGUCGGGACCUGCUGUGAGAGUACCUGAAGAAAAAGCAUCGGCUAACUCCGUGCCAGCAGCCGCGGUAAUACGGAGGAUGCGAGCGUUAUCCGGAUUUAUUGGGUUUAAAGGGUGCGUAGGCGGGAUGCCAAGUCAGCGGUCAAAUACGGGGGCUCAACCUGCGUCCGCCGUUGAAACUGGCGUU